GCAUUUUUCUCAUCCACCCUCUUCUUUUCUUCUCAAAUUUUAACUCCACAAUCAAACAUAACAACAAAAAUCCUUAUCUUCCUCUAUCUCAAUCUCAGUCUAUAUUAGAUCCCAAGGUCUUAAACCAACAUGCUAACAAAAUCAGAUUCAAAGGAAAAUACCUGAAGCAGCGGCGCGGAAAUGAAAGGGGUUGGUGUCGGGUUGUGCACCUAUUCAUAGAGGUUUCUAAGGGUGUAUACAAAGUAUUACACACCAGAAAACAAAAUUCACAUGUUUCAAAUUAUUUUUACACUAUUCAAACAUUCUUUUUAAAGUGUUCAUCCUUAUUUCAAGAAAAUUGA